rnacentral:rRNA from 1 species
UACGUAGGGUGCAAGCGUUAAUCGGAAUUACUGGGCGUAAAGCGUGCGCAGGCGGUAAUGCAAGACAGAUGUGAAAUCCCCGGGCUCAACCUGGGAACUGCAUUUGUGACUGCAUUGCUGGAGUGCGGCAGAGGGGGAUGGAAUUCCGCGUGUAGCAGUGAAAUGCGUAGAUAUGCGGAGGAACACCGAUGGCGAAGGCAAUCCCCUGGGCCUGCACUGACGCUCAUGCACGAAAGCGUGGGGAGCAAACAGGAUUAGAUACCCUGGUAGUCCACGCCCUAAACGAUGUCAACUGGUUGUUGGGUCUUCAUUGACUCAGUAACGAAGCUAACGCGUGAAGUUGACCGCCUGGGGAGUACGGCCGCAAGGUUGAA